AGAAUACGGGCUUAUUUGAAUACUGCGCAAAAGGGAAGGACUGAUAUGGAAAAUAACCCUUCACUGCAAAGGCGCGCGCUGGCCUAGACGGUGUCGUUUGAGACCAUUAUCAUUGGUCUAAACGGUGCCGUUUCUUACUCCCUUAAAAUCCCCAACAAAACACCCCGUUCAGCUGAACCCCCAUCCAUUUUCUUCUUUUCCAAACCCUAAAUCCCCUUUGAAAAUGCCGAUUCUCCUUCCCCUAGCAGCAGCCAACAGAUUUAGACUGGAGAGAACACCUUUCAGCCUUUCAAUCUCCUCUUAACUUCGAUUUUAACUAAGCAAGAGGAGAUCCACGGCGUGCUUUCAAGGUACAGGUGCGUUGGCGCUCGGGUACGGGUCUGGGCUGGCGUACGGAGGCGCGUGUGCGUGGCUGCUGGAGGGUACGGAGGCCAGGGCCGAGGCUUGGCUGCGGCGCGAGAGAGAGAAAGAGAGAGAACCCUAGGGUUCCGUUUGUUCUAAAAUUUUUUGGGCCAUCGGGCCUGUAUUUGGGUCUUGGUUUUAAAUUUGGGUCUAGGUUUAGUUAUUGGGCUUGGGUUAUGUAGCUGGGUUUGGGUCUGUUAUAAAACUGGACUGUUGUAUUGGUUUGGUUUAAUUUAAUUUAUUUAUAUUUUGUAUUUUAUCUUGGGUUACUAAUGGGCCGAGCAAAAUGGGCCUCUUACAGCUAUUAUGGCUACUUCUUUGUUGUUACCUAAGAUUCAGUGAUUUCAUGACACUGUAAAAUUAACGGUAAAUUAUUCAAAUUGUCACUCUAAAA